ACAGAUGAGAAUCCUAGUCAUUGGCCAAGCAGCAUUUGUACCUAAUAUAAGUCUGUGUAUUAUUUUGUCCAUCCACGUGGCAGGCAGAACACUGGCAGCUGGCAGAGACCUCCCACGUGGCGGUAGAACUAGGGUGUCUUUUGGCGGAAAGAUUUAUCAUAACACUGGACUCUGACUACUGGGUGAACCUUACACAAACCCCUUAGCUUUGUUCCUUCUUCAACUCUCAAGUGGCAUGUUGACUAGGAUGAUUCGUUCGGAGGCUCCUCCAGCCCUCAACAUUCUGUGAGUCAGACUCUUGGGAUUAGUGGCCACCAACUCUGUCCUUCCCCCAGCUGAGUCACCUCUAAGGCAGGGAGGGGAUUCUUUGGGGCUGAACAGGAAACAUACACAGAGUCCACCCAAGUUCCAUUCUCAGAGGCAAGAAUAAGUAGGGAAUGCCUGAAGUCAGGACAGAUAUCAGAGGCAGCUCCCCUCCGGUGAUCAUCCUGGCUGGUCCUGGAGACCUGUGCUCACUUCCUCAAGACUAGGGCCCCUGGACCAGGCCGUCUUCUUCUAAGGACAUGCCCUCCCCCAGCACACACAACACAGGCAUGUGGGUCUCCGGAAUUCCUCUGUUUUUCCUGUUUGUAUCAGUUCCCAUGUCCAGUGUGCCUACUGAUGCUAUCCUAAGACUUUACCACAAGAAGGCAAAGGUGUCCUUCCUGGCUGCUUUCCUGAGAGUGGUUGAGAAUUACAACUCACAGACAAGGUGUCUCCUUGGGGGUCUUAGCCUGUAAAGGGCUCCACCACUGUCUAUUCCACUGCAUGGAACUUAGUGAAGCCUACCAUGGACUAUUAAACACAUCUGAGAGUCCUGGGCUUCCCACAGCAACCCCACAUCGUUUGCCCACUUUAAUGAUGCAGAGAAUGAGGUUUGGUGAUUCAUCAAAGGCUGAACUAGGAUGUGGCCCAGCCAGGACUCAAACUGAGGUCUGUCAGGUUUCCAGUCCACUGUGUUCUCCCUCAGGAGCCAGAGCUAAGCCCUAAAUAAUCUUCAGCAUGAGUGUGAACCAUCUGAAAAGCCACUAAGUAGAUUCCAUGUCUUUUUUCACCCAAGAAAAGCAUGGUCUAGUUUAACUUCAGGCCUAAAAGGCAAAAAAUAAGUGGGUUACAGUUCACCACCUUACAGCACAUUAAAGUUAGACUUCUAGGUUCCUCUUGAUUCUCCCCAAUAAAGUUGUAACUUACGAGAUUUGCAGUGAAGAAACUGCGGAAGUCAGUCUUCCUGGUUUUACAUCUCUGGUAUCACAAUGUUGCCCCAGACAAACUAUGGAGACUAAGCCUCAGCCAACCUGUGUCUACAUGGAGAUGAGAGUCAUACAUACCUUGUCGUGUUGUUAUGAGGGGUAAAUAAGAUCCUGCAUGUAAAAAAGCAUUUAACAUGGAGUCUGGCAUAUGGCAGGAGCUCGAUAAAUCCCAGCCAUUAUUAUUACCAUAAUAUCUCUGUGCAUAAAUCUAUCUGCAACUCUGAUUGUUUUCUUAGGACAGAUGCCAGAGGGUAAAAUCACUGUAUCAAUGGGUGGCUCUUCAUACAUAAUGCGUAAUUAUCCCCCAGAAAUUGUCAAGCAGUUUAUACAUCCAACCCAGAAUCGGCAAGGGAAAUGCAACCACAGGUGAGGCGAAGAAAAACGUCUCAACGGCCAACGCAAGCAGCAAGCAGGGUAAAGAACAUUAUUGCAAUACUUGUCUCUUCACAACUUGCCUGAACAGAAGAGGACACAGAAAGAUGAAUGAUAUAUCACUGCAUGAUAAAUUGAAUUAAGAGAAGAUCUUUGAGAAACACACAGGAAAAUAAGCUUUCAUCCAGUAGCUGCUGGAAGCAGAAGCAGACAUCCACAGCAAAACAUUGAGCUG